rnacentral:rRNA from 1 species
UGGGGAAUAUUGGACAAUGGGCGGAAGCCUGAUCCAGCAACGCCGCGUGAGGGAUGACGGCCUUCGGGUUGUAAACCUCUUUCAGUAGGGACGAAGCGCAAGUGACGGUACCUACAGAAGAAGCACCGGCCAACUACGUGCCAGCAGCCGCGGUAAUACGUAGGGUGCGAGCGUUGUCCGGAAUUAUUGGGCGUAAAGGGCUCGUAGGCGGUUUGUCGCGUCGGGAGUGAAAACCCAGGGCUUAACCCUGGGCUGGCUUUCGAUACGGGCAGACUAGAGGUAUGCAGGGGAGAACGGAAUCCUGGUGUAGCGGUGAAAUGCGCAGAUAUCAGGA